rnacentral:tRNA from 1 species
CCCUUUAGCUUAGAGGGUAAAGAAUCUGCCUGUGAUGCAGGAGACCUGGGUUCAAUCCCUGAGUCGGGA